CCUACGGGUGGCUGCAGUGAGGAAUAUUGGUCAAUGGCCGGGAGGCUGAACCAGCCAAGUCGCGUGAGGGAAGACGGCGCUACGGGUUGUAGACCUCUUUUGUCAGGGAGCAAGGUGCAGGUCGGGACCUGCCCUGAGAGUACCUGGAGAAAAAGCAUCGGCUAACUCCGUGCCAGCAGCCGCGGUAAUACGGAGGAUGCGAGCGUUAUCCGGAUUUAUUGGGUUUAAAGGGUGCGCAGGCGGGGGCACAAGUCAGCGAUAAAAUCGCGGGGCUCAACCCUGCCCCGCCGUUGAAACUGUGUGCCUUGAGUGCGCGAAGGGCAGGCGGAAUGCGCGGUGUAGCGGUGAAAUGCAUAGAUAUCACGCAGAACCCCGAUUGCGAAGGCAGCCUACCGGGGCGCCACUGACGCUCAUGCACGAAAGCGUGGGUAUCGAACAGGAUUAGAUACCCGAGUAGUC
rnacentral:rRNA from 1 species